UAAGAAGCCUGUGAAUUAUUAAGCUGGUUGACAGCACAAUUUUCUCUAUUCAUAUUUGUUCCAACCUCCAAAGAAUAUAGACGUUAAAGCUACAACUAGUCUUUUAUUUGUUGGAGACUACAACAAUAAGUUGAAACAAAUAGGUCAUAAUUCUCAGGUCAUAAUCAUUCAGUGUAAUCAAUUGUAACAUACUUUUGGAGACCCCUUGACGUUAUAGUAAAAAAAGUCAAAUUGCUGUCUUCCUGUUUGCUUUGUGUAAUUAUUUCUCUAUCACGGUUACUUGCCUGGUGGUGGUUUUCUAGCAGGCGUUCCGCAAGAUUCGAUUUAAUAGAAGUCACCUUUCCAAUUUCAUCGUUUGUUGAAGAUGAGGAUUCCAUUGGGCAGAAAACAAGCUGAACAGGCCUCCCUGUGGCUGUCAUCGGGUGUUGGUUUCGGAGCAACUGCUGCUUUACUCGGUUGUUACUUCACCGACUGGAAAGUGAUUGUAACGUACAUCCCGUUCUACGGUGGCAAGUUCAAAGAAGAAAAAUCUGACUAGAUUCGAUCAAACAAAUAAAAACAGUAAAAUUGGGAAUACACACAUCAUCCAAAUCUACUUGACCAACGUCGUUGGCAAAAAUUCACACAGUAUGUUUUCACUGGCGGCUUACUUUGAAUGAAAAACAAUGACAUUUUCCUCAAACAACAGCUUUUUUAAAGUGUGUGUAUACCGACUUAUUUAUGAGUUAGGAUAAACAAAUUACAAAUGAAUUUCAAUUGCA